rnacentral:misc_RNA from 1 species
AACGCACCUUGCGCUUCUUGGUAUUCCGAGGAGCAUGCCUGUUUGAGUGUCAUUAAAUUCUCAAACCCUUCCAGUAUUUUAUAUGCUGGCUGCGGCUUGGAUAUUGGGGGUUUUUGCAGGCCUUAUAGGUCAGCUCCCCUUAAAUACAUUAGCAGAACUGUUGUUUGCAAGUCUGUCACUGGUGUGAUAAUUAUCUGCACCAAGGCUGCUCUCAGAGUUGUUCAGCUUCUAAUCGUCUUUCUGGGACAACUAUUGAACUUUUGACCUCAAAUCAGGUAGGAUUACCCGCUGAACUUAA